CUCUAAUUGGCAUAUGUGGAUAACGCGUUGGCGUUUGAAGCGAAAGGUACUGGGUUCGAGUCCCAGAGUGAAC
rnacentral:tRNA from 1 species